rnacentral:sRNA from 1 species
GGUUAACGCGAGGAGACAGACAUGGGACUCACGCAAUCCUUGAAUGUUCUGUUGGUCAGUGCAGCGUUUGCUUUCGUCCUGUCCAUGCUCUUUAUCUGAGCCGGGCCAUGAAGGCAUAACGACUGAUAGUGCCUAAACUCCCCAAGAGCUGAUCAAUCCGCCAACGAAAAAGCGCAUGUCCCGCCCGACAUGCGCUUU